AUUGAACGCUGGCGGCAUGCUUUACACAUGCAAGUCGAACGGCAGCACGGACUUCGGUCUGGUGGCGAGUGGCGAACGGGUGAGUAAUACAUCGGAACGUGCCCAGUUGUGGGGGAUAACUACUCGAAAGAGUAGCUAAUACCGCAUGAGAACUGAGGUUGAAAGCAGGGGAUCGUAAGACCUUGCGCAAUUGGAGCGGCCGAUGGCAGAUUAGGUAGUUGGUGGGAUAAAAGCUUACCAAGCCGACGAUCUGUAGCUGGUCUGAGAGGACGACCAGCCACACUGGGACUGAGACACGGCCCAGACUCCUACGGGAGGCAGCAGUGGGGAAUUUUGGACAAUGGGCGAAAGCCUGAUCCAGCAAUGCCGCGUGCAGGAUGAAGGCCUUCGGGUUGUAAACUGCUUUUGUACGGAACGAAAAGCUUCGGGCUAAUACCCUGGAGUCAUGACGGUACCGUAAGAAUAAGCACCGGCUAACUACGUGCCAGCAGCCGCCGUAAAAC
rnacentral:rRNA from 1 species